UAGUGUGUUUAAUUUAAUGCAAUUAUUAGUUUCCCCCUGGAGUGGGCUGCAGCCUGGGCGCCCCCUGCCCGCGUCUGCACACUUUACCCCGGGAUUCGUUACCCUUCGGGCCGCCGCGUCCCUCUCUGUCCCUGCGGUGGUGUGGGAUGCACUGCUGCUGCUGGCCUGUGACUGUGGCCCCUCUUAUCAGUUGUUCCUGACCAUGCAGUUUGGAACCGGCUUGGUUCUUCCCAAAGUUAACUGUCAGGGACCACCAAGCUUGGAACUAUGGCGGUUCUUACAGAGUUGACUCUCAGCUGACACCCUGUCAAUAAUAUUCACUUCAACAAAGUGUCUGCUGCCUGCGCUAACGUGCCAAUUGGGAAUUCAUAACUGUGUUCCACUUCCACACAGCACACUGGAGGUUUUGAGUUAAGUAUUUUCAAAACAGACUUUCAAAAAAGACGCUUGAUUUUUGAGUGCACUGUUUAUGAACACUAAUGUCUUACAAUACCAUGCGUAGAGGAAAUAGAGGUGCUAUUCCCUGCUGCAAAAACUGGUUUAAAUUGCAGA